GUACAGAGGAAACACUGAUUUCACACAAAAAUUAUGUAACAGGAGCAUAUCUUGUUAGCAGCACACGCAUUUUGAACACCACUUCAGUCUUUACUGCAGCGUGACCAAGGUACUACAACACUGCGGUUAAUUUUACAAGUUAAUCACACUGAAAGAAAAGCUUUAGACACCUGCUUUAUCUAUGACGGAUUCAAAUUUAUGCGUAUUAGUAUAGCUGACUUUUCAAUCUAUGUUCUUGUAUGUAUAUGAAGAUCUAAUUUGAAAAAAUGAAAUUUACAUUUUAAAAUGAAAAUUAGGCCUCAUCUGGAAAGUUAAAUUCAGUUAAAUUCCUGAAUAGAAGAAGUGACACUGACUAAAUUAGAGAAAAAAAGAAAUAAUCUCAAUAUUCAAUAUUCUUAAGUACUUUUCAGGAUGGCUUUAUUGAAUAUGGGUUUUAUUUGUCUGUUUGAGAAACUUUGCCUUCUGGUAACUGCCACUGGACUCUCAGUUUCAGCUGAUAUAAUACAGGCUGCAUGUUAUAGAAUCAUAGUGUAGAGGUACUUCAUUGGAGUUUUGAAAUUGCAGUUCACCCUACAGGAUUGAAUCAGAUCUUUUAGCUCAAUGAUUCUGAAGAAAAAAUAAGGUCCAUGCAAACGUUCUUCUGCUAUUUUUCCACAAAAGCAUUUUUUUCUGAAAAGUCAUCCAUCUUGAACACAGGGAACUUUGUUUGGUAAUAUGUCCUUUGAAAAUAUCUCUUCACAAUUAUUUUUAUCUCAUGUCUCUGUUGCUCUUUCAAAGUAAUGCAGACUAAGAGAGAGGUUGUUGAGCUUGCCUGAUGAGGAGGAGUUGUCAUUUUAACUGCUGAAGUAUUUUACAGAGCCCUUUUAAGGUUGUUCCAUCUAUGUGAUUAGAAAUGCAACCACGUUUUUCCUUCAAUGAAUGCAAGAAGUGAGACUUUCUCAUAGUUCUGAUUAUUAGGUUUAUAAUGUUUUCUACACAUUUCUGACCCAAUUCUGAGCUGCUGGCAGAACUGGAGAUUAGGAAGGACUGAUAAGACUAUACAAAAACCUCUCAUUCUUACAGGAAGGCAGCCACUGACAUUUCACAUAUUUAAGAUAAACAGACAUGGGAAAAAUGCAGACAAAUAUACAAAUGAACCAAGGUUCAGAUAAAAUUUUUUACUAGACACCAUUAAGACACAGAUGUUAAGUAAGCAUGCUUAAAUUGCAGUAUUUUCUGCCUUAUUCCCUAUCGGUGCAUACAAGGUUAGUCUCUGGUAUUUUUUGCCAUGCCAGAGCUGGGAGAAUGCCAGUUCAGAGAGCCAACAACUGCAGUUAUCUCAAAAGCAUGUCUUCAGGUGAAUAAUUAAAGCAUGUCAUUAAAGUAACUGUGCCCUACAAGCAUUUCCAAGGUAGUUUUCUCCUCACUUCCCUCUGUACCAUACAAAGCCUUCUUGGAAACAAUUAAAGCUGGGUUUCUAAGGGAACUAAAAGGACUCACAUGCCAUUUAAAAGAACACUAAAUUUCAAUCAAAAAUUCAAUUGCAUCAAUUAGUAAAAGAGACAAAAGGGACACAAAUACACCUCAGCAGUCAUAAAUAAUAGCAUCACACAACACGUGUAUUACUGAUUCAUAUGUGUGGUUUGCUUCCCCCCCUUGUUUUGGCAAAUGCUUCUGUUAUUGCAGAUAAGCAAUUACCUUUCAUACUUGAACCCUUGGAAUGACUAAUUGCUCCUGUGAAAUGGUUAUCAAUGAUUCAUUAGGGAAAGAGAGAAAAAAAAAUUACUGAAGCAACUUUAUUCAAAUGCAUGCUUUUCUGUUGAGCCCUCUACAAAUCCUUGCCUACUCAGAAAUCUCAAUUCCAUAUUUUAUAUUUCACUGAAAUAUAAACCCAUCUAAAAGGCACAGAGCAGCACGGCAGUGCUACAAAUGCUCCACUCUUGAAGAUAAGGAACCCAUUUUUGAGGAAAACAUUUAUCAGUCAAAUUUAUGCAAUCAUGCAAAUAUAACUCAACACCGGAAGAAAUCAACGUUUGUUAGGUUGCAAAAUGAGAUGCAUGCACAGAAACAAAGCAUAAUUCAGUGUUCUCCUUUUCUGUUCAUGCUGUAAGCAGCAGGCACCUCAAAGCUCAGGAUCAGCUGUGCACCAACACCACGAGGCUUCACAACCAACCUGCUUCCAUUACAGCCACACCUACACACUGGGCAGGCACAAUCUGUUGUUUAAGGAAUUUUCAACUGCUCAGGUGCCUAUUCACACCACAUGCACUUAAAAUAUUAGACUUCUUGUAGGAUCCAGCACUUAACUCAAAUUUCUCACAAGCCAAGAUUUGUAUCAGUUAAGUCCAACCUGAUAAAAGAGCUAAAAUAUUUGUUGUUGCGUUGGUUUUACUACAGAGCUCCACUGCUCUGCAGCAAACCCAUAAACUUAACAAUGUUAACAGCCAUACUGUCGAGAAGAAUAUUGCAAAAAUCCAUAAAGCCAUGUUAUCAAAGAAAAAUAUUCCAAAGGAGUUACUGCAGAAUCACAAAAUCCAGGUAUACCACCACAAAAAUUAUGGUGAGGGUAGAACUAAAGGUGAAAGCUGUUAUUAAAAGUGGCACUGUCAAGCAUGUAAAGAACCCACUAGUAUUUUAUGAAAAUGAUCCCAUUACAUUUUUCUUUUAUUCCUAUUCUUUCUUCUUUCUGUUCUUUUUUUUUUCCCUUUUUAAAGACUGACAUUGAAUUGUCAAGAUACAUUUGUUGUGUGGAAACAUGCCAAAGUAGGAAGCCCAAGUCUGUCUACCUUGUCAUCGUCACCCACAGAGCUGCAAAGAUUUCUACAUUUUCUGCUCUACUUGUGUGGCUAUGAGCAAAGAGGCAAAAAAAUAGGCCUGUGCAAAGCCAUAGCUCUGCAGAUAUUAGCACAAAUCAGAAGUUUUGUUGUGACAGGUUAUAUGACAGCAGGAAAAAAAGAAUUUUUGAAAUGCUGUCAUUAUUUAACUAUUAUUUUAAAGUUUUUCAAGAGUCUAGGAACUACUUGACAGUGCUGAUGCAACUGGUACUUUUGCAAAAACAUCACAUGAGAAAUACAGCCAGGGAAAGGAAUAUUUUCAUACCUUUUCUGGUUUUUCCUGAGUUUCAUAAGAAAAAGAGUGAAAAGCAAACAGAAAAAGGCAGACUGCUUUGAAAAGUUUCUAGAUUGUUUGUACAAAUAUCCCUUGUUUGCAGUAUACUUUUUUUUUUAUACAGAGCUUAGAAAAGACACAAAUAAUUAUCCUGCUGGUACCUAAGUUCUCUGAACAGCUUUGUUCCCAGUGCUGUGUCUGGUCUUACACCUUAAUCCCCAGCUAACAUUCCUUCUUCCCUUCUGCAAUCCAUCCUGCAGUUAGCAUUGGCUAACUCUCCCUCCUUGCUCCUGGCCGUCCCUGUGGAAGCCUCUGGCACCCAGCUUGGAGCUCCAAGCAUCCACCUGCGCAAGCUCAGACUUUUACAGUUGCCUUCUUGGACUGAAAUAAGAAAAACUGGAGAAAGCACAUUAGAGAAAACUCAUUUCAGACCAGUGAUAACACUCAGAUAAUAUCUUUAAACCAGCUGAGCUGCAACUGCCUCCAGCCAGCCUUGAAUAUAUUUGUUUUCAGAUCUGUGUGCACACACCAGAACAUCUGGUCUAGAACUUUGCUCAAUGCUGUCAAGCCCUAAGGAGCAGAGGAAGCUACUAACACCACAUCUGGAGCACAUCAUCCUCUUUGGAUAGCAGUGUGUGGGUCACUGCUUGAUAGGCAGGGCUCCGGACUGAGUGGAUGAAAUGGCAUUUAUCACACGAGAGCCUGGCUCUCCACUGAACACAGUUGCAGUGCUCUGUGCCCAAGGUAUCAGGAAGCCAAGACGCCCAUGUCGUUUGCAAUAGACCACCUUGGCCACAGAAAACUGACAGAGUGAAAAACCUGUCAAGUGGGGAACGAAACGCAAGGAAAGCAAGCGCUGACUCACUGCACAUGACAGGUUAAUUUGAGUAAAUCAAAUGACUAACAGAACUGGGAAGAACUUCUAUAAGGACAAGCCAUUCCCAUAAACUACACUAACACAUCUUCCAUUUGCAUCAUCUGGAAGAUACUUCUAACUUUUAUAUGUUACCAGAAGAACCAGGUAAGAUGCUGUUAGUGUUAGCCCUACAGCCAUUACAAUUUGCCUUUUCUUGUUUUUUUUUUUUAAUUAAGCAGUCAUACAGAAAGUGAUGGACUGAGGGAUGGCAGGAACAUCAGUGUGCUUCUGCCUGCUGAGGAGAUUCAAGGAAGCAGAUUUAAGACAUGAUGGCAAAAUGUAGUUAUU